rnacentral:rRNA from 1 species
UAGAGUAUGCUAAGGCGCUCGGAAGAACUCUCGUUAAGGAACUCGGCAAAAUGACCCCGUAACUUCGGGAGAAGGGGUGCCUCGGUAGGGUGAAUAGCCCGAGGGGGCCGCAGUGAAAAGGCCCAAGCGACUGUUUAGCAAAAACACAGGUCUGUGCGAAGCCGUAAGGCGAAGUAUACGGGCUGACGCCUGCCCGGUGCUGGAAGGUUAAGGGGAGUGGUUAGCCGCAAGGCGAAGCUAUGAACCGAAGCCCCAGUAAACGGCGGCCGUAACAAUAACGGUCCUAAGGUAGCGAAAUUCCUUGUCAGGUAAAUUCUGACCCGCACGAAUGGCGUAACGACUUGGGCGCUGUCUCAACGAGAGAUCCGGUGAAAUUUUAAUACCUGUGAAGAUGCAGGUUACCCGCGACAAGACGGAAAGACCCCAUGGAGCUUUACUGCAGCUUGAUAUUGGACUUUGGUACGAUCUGUACAGGAUAGGUGGGAGCCUUGGAAACCGGAGCGCCAGCUUCGGUGGAGGCAUCGUUGGGAUACCACCCUGAUCGUAUCGGAGUUCUAACCUGGUACCGUAAUCCGGUACAGGGACCGUGUCAGGUGGGCAGUUUGACAGGGGCGGUCGCCUCCUAAAAUGUAACGGAGGCGCCCAAAGGUUCCCUCAGAAUGGUAGGAAAUCAUUCGUAGCGUGUAAAGGCAUAAGGGAGCUUGACUGCGAGACCUACAAGUCGAGCAGGGACGAAAGUCGGGCUUAGUGAUCCGGUGGUACCGAAUGGAAGGGCCAUCGCUCAACGGAUAAAAGCUACCCUGGGGAUAACAGGCUUAUCUCCCCCAAGAGUCCACAUCGACGGGGAGGUUUGGCACCUCGAUGUCGGCUCAUCGCAUCCUGGGGCUGAAGUAGGUCCCAAGGGUUGGGCUGUUCGCCCAUUAAAGCGGUACGCGAGCUGGGUUCAGAACGUCGUGAGACAGUUCGGUCCCUAUCUGUCGUGGGCGUAGGAAAUUUGCGAGGAGCUGUCCUUAGUACGAGAGGACCGGGAUGGACGCACCGCUGGUGUACCAGUUGUUCCGCCAGGAGCAUCGCUGGGUAGCCAAGUGCGGACGGGAUAAGCGCUGAAAGCAUCUAAGCGUGAAGCCCCCCUCAAGAUGAGAUUUCCCAGUAUGUAGGACCCCUUGAAGACGACGAGGUUGAUAGGUUCGAGGUGGAAGUGCGGCAACGUGUGGAGCUGACGAAUACUAAUCGGUCGAGGGCUUAUUC